AAUGCCUAACUAACCUAUGAAACGUCCUAUCAAUCUCAGGAUCAAAAGGUGGUAUGAAUCCAGGAUUUCCUCUAGUCAUGCACUAAAUCACAACACCCUGUAAUCAUGAAACAAUAGCACAAAAAUUUCAAACCACAUAAAACAACACAAGACAACACAACUCACACAAACACGAACACAACACAAGACUCAAAACUGAACUGUUGGUCCCCGGAAACGGC
rnacentral:lncRNA from 1 species